rnacentral:rRNA from 1 species
AAUGAACGCUGGCGGCGCGCCUAAUACAUGCAAGUCGAGCGAGAAGACGUAGCAAUACGUUUGUAAAGCGGCGAACGGGUGAGGAAUACAUGGGUAACCUACCCUCGAGUGGGGAAUAACUAGCCGAAAGGUUAGCUAAUACCGCGUACGCUCCUUGGACUUCGGUUCAGGGAGGAAAGCGAUACCGUGGGUAUCGCGCUCUUGGAUGGGCUCAUGUCCUAUCAGCUUGUUGGUGAGGUAACGGCUCACCAAGGCUUCGACGGGUAGCUGGUCUGAGAGGACGAUCAGCCACACUGGCACUGCGACACGGGCCAGACUCCUGCGGGAGGCAGCAGUAAGGAAUAUUGCGCAAUGGGCGAAAGCCUGACGCAGCGACGCCGCGUGAGGGAUGACGGCCUGG